CUGGCUCAGGAUGAACGCUGGCGGCGUGCCUAACACAUGCAAGUCGAGCGGAGAUGUCUGGAGAUUCUUCGGAUGAUCCAUUCAUCUUAGCGGCGGAUGGGUGAGUAACACGUGGGUAACCUGCCCUGCACAGGGGGAUAACAGCUGGAAACGGCUGUUAAUACCGCAUAUGCACACGCUGCCGCAUGGCAGAGGGUGGAAAGAUUUAUCGGUGCAGGAUGGGCCCGCGUCGGAUUAACUAGUUGGCAGGGUAACGGCCUACCAAGGUUAUGAUCCGUAGCCGACCUGAGAGGGUGACCGGCCACAUUGGGACUGAGACACGGCCCAAACUCCUACGGGAGGCAGCAGUGGGGGAUAUUGCACAAUGGGCGGAAGCCUGAUGCAGCGACGCCGCGUGAAGGAAGAAGUAUUUCGGUAUGUAAACUUCUAUCAGCGGGGAAGAAGAUGACGGUACCCGACUAAGAAGCCCCGGCUAACUACGUGCCAGCAGCUGC
rnacentral:rRNA from 1 species